GGAAAAAAACUUCACAUUAUCUCUAACUCCUCCGUCAGGUACCACGCAGCGAAGCCAAACCUUUUUUCUCUGUGCCCACAACGCCUCCGCCUCUGAAUCUGGCUAGCUCCGGCGCCUUGCCGCGCCGCCGCUCACCGGACCGACUACCCCUCGCUGGUCUCCUCUGACCCCUCCUCCAUGGCGACAUCCUCCGCGCCCCUACACGCGGCCCACAGCCACAGGUCGCCAGCGCGGCUCCCGCGGCUCCUCUGCUUUGUUGCCCUACUACCCCACUACAUCUCCGCACGCAUGGCUGCCAGCUCGGCCUUGGCGGUGCUACUCCACCUUAGCUACCUCGGCCCCGCCGUCGCUGCCGGUUCAGUAAGCCACUUCUCCCCUGACCCCGUCUUCACUUACCCUAUCUUGUUCUUUGUGUGGCAGGCCAUGGCGGAUUCUUUGCCAGUCAUCGUGACGAUGGUCUGCGCUACCUUGAUCACUCGGCCAGACCCAACGCCGCCGGCGCUGGCUUGCACCGGCAUCCUUUGUAAGUUAGAGAAUGCCUAACGAUGAUGGUUUGUUCCCUCCCCUUUUCAGUCCUGUCUUUGAGGCUGCAACACUGAGCACUUACUUGUGUACCUCUAUCCUUCUCCUUGUAAUACUGUCACCAUGUGCGACAUCGGACACAUGGAUGGACUACCAGAGAAAGGACCUACUCGGCACAUCCCGAGUCCCUCUGUUCAUCCAGCCAAGCCAUACAAUCGUGGAAGUUAUUAAUGCAACUAAUGUACACAGAAAACCAACACAAGGAUACCAGACUGUUGGUUGCUUUCAGACUUGCCUGGAGGAACUGGCGACAAAAUACUCAGAAACCAAAUUUGUGAAAAUAAUUUACAGAGACUGUAUUCGAACUUCCCAGAUAGGAAUGUUCCUACAAUACUGGUGUACAACGAUAGUGCUAUCAAAGGGACUUGUGUCGGUCUGCAGAAGUUUGUUGAAAGAAACUUACACCUAAAUACCGAAUAUUGAGUGAUUGGCAGUGUGGUGAUGAUUCAUCUCGUAACAAUGUCAUAGAAGGUGAUCACAUGAAGUUCAUAGGAAAGGUUAUCGACCAGGAUGAUGAACUGUGGGAAGACGAAGAUGUUGUUUAUUGCGGAAGAUUUCCAAGAUAAAGGGAUGAUGCAUGGCUAAGUAGUUGAUUGCAAGGUGGAGAAUGGCGCUGACACCAGACAUUGUAGAAUGUCAUUUUCAUGGUCGAUGUAUAGAAAAUCAUGUAUGUACUAUUUGGAAUGUGUUCCAUGUAAUGCAACCGAGUCAAUUUAAUAUAUGAUAUAUUUCUGUUCAA